rnacentral:lncRNA from 1 species
GGGCUAUUUAUUUAUUGUCGGUUAUACAUAUAACAAUACAACAUAUUAAAGGUCUGUAGAGCUUUUAUCCGACAUACAUAUAUGACAAGCACAAUACAUUUGUACAUGAAACAUAAAGCUCAUCACUGAGAUAGUAGUCUCAGAUAGAGGGAGGCGGGGUCAACCAAACUCCCCUAUUCAAUCUGAAUGCAGGACAGAAAGUCACAGUCAAAAAGUC